UUGGUCUUAGAGACCUGAGAGCGUGACCGCUGAGCCCAAGGGGACAACUGCUUGAGGUGUGUGACGCACGGGCUUUUUAUGAAAAG
rnacentral:precursor_RNA from 1 species